UGGCGAGUGGCGAACGGGUGAGUAAUAUAUCGGAACGUAUCCAUAAUGGGGGAUAACUAAUCGAAAGGUUGGCUAAUACCGCAUACGCCCUACGGGGGAAAGCUAGGGAUCUUCGGACCUGGCGUUAAUGGAGCGGCCGAUAUCUGAUUAGCUAGUUGGUGGGGUAAAGGCCCACCAAGGCGACGAUCAGUAGCUGGUCUGAGAGGACGACCAGCCACACUGGAACUGAGACACGGUCCAGACUCCUACGGGAGGCAGCAGUGGGGAAUUUUGGACAAUGGGCGCAAGCCUGAUCCAGCCAUUCCGCGUGAGUGAAGAAGGCCUUCGGGUUGUAAAGCUCUUUCGCAAGGGAAGAAAACUUAUCCUCUAACAUAGGAUGAGGUUGACGGUACCUUGAUAAGAAGCACCGGCUAAC
rnacentral:rRNA from 1 species